rnacentral:lncRNA from 1 species
UGGAGACACCUGAAGGAGAACAGAAUCAGGAAAGUGAUGGCCACCAAGAUUCAGGCGUGGUGGCGUGGAAUCAUGGUCCGGAAAGGAUAUGGAUCCUACGAAGAGCUACUAAAAGCCCGGAAGAAAGGAAAAUCCCCUCCAAAGGAUAAGAAAGGAAAAGCAGCCCCAAAAGGAAAACCCGCAAAAGGGAAUAAAAAAUAAUUAUGUAAAUGGGUGAAUGAAAAUAAAGAUUGCUAACAGAGCA